UUUCCGUAGGUGAACCUGCGGAAGGAUCAUUCAUAAUAAAGUGUUUUAUGGCACUUUUUAAAAAUCCAUAUCCACCUUGUGUGCAAUGUUAGAUCUCGUCAAUCUUGGCGAGAUUUUUAUACAUCAACUCAUUUUUUAACUAAUUUGUCUGAAAAAUAUUACGAAUACUUAAUUCAAAAUACAACUUUCAACAACGGAUCUCUUGGCUCUC
rnacentral:misc_RNA from 1 species